AGAGUUUGAUCCUGGCUCAGGACAAACGCUGGCGGCGUGCGUAACACAUGCAAGUCGGACGGGGCCUUGAGGGGGUAGUGAUACCGUCUUGAGGUCGAGUGGCGGACGGGUGAGUAACACGUGGAUAACCUACCCUGGUGUGGGGGAUACCCUGUAGAAAUACGGGCUAAUACCGCAUGAGGUCACGCUUGGGAAGCCGA
rnacentral:rRNA from 1 species